CACGGCGCACGGGUGCGUAACACGUGGGCAAUCUGCCCUCCGGUGGGGAAUAACCCCGCGAAAGCGGGGCUAAUUCCGCAUAACAUUCCCUGGACUUUGGUUCGGGGACUCAAAGCAGCAAUGCGCCGGAGGAGGAGCCCGCGCCCGAUUAGCUAGUUGGUGAGGUAACGGCUCACCAAGGCAAUGAUCGGUAGCUGGUCUGAGAGGAUGACCAGCCACACUGGAACUGAGACACGGUCCAGACUCCUACGGGAGGCAGCAGUGGGGAAUCUUGCGCAAUGGGCGAAAGCCUGACGCAGCGACGCCGCGUGGGGGAUGAAGCUUCUCGGAGUGUAAACCCCUUUCGACCGGGACGAAUGCCCGCAAGGGAGUGACGGUACCGGUAGAAGAAGCCCCGGCUAACUACGUGCCAGCAGCCGCGGUAAGACGUAGGGGGCCAGCGUUGUUCGGAAUUACUGGGUGUAAAGGGUUCGUAGGCGGUGUGGCAAGUCGGGAGUGAAAUCUCUGGGCUUAACUCAGAGGCUGCUUCCGAAACUGCUGUGCUAGAGUGCGGGAGAGGCGCGUGGAAUUGCAGGUGUAGCGGUGAAAUGCGUAGAUAUCUGCAGGAACACCCGUGGCGAAAGCGGCGCGCUGGACCGUUACUGACGCUGAGGAACGAAAGCUAGGGGAGCAAACAGGAUUAGAUACCCUGGUAGUCCUAGCCCUAAACGAUCAGGACUUGGGGUGCCUUCCGUUCGGAAGUCGUCCCGGAGCUAACGCGUUAAGUCCUGCACCUGGGGAGUACGGUCGCAAGACUGAAACUCAAAGGAAUUGACGGGGGCCCGCACAAGCGGUGGAACAUGUGGUUCAAUUCGA
rnacentral:rRNA from 1 species